GUGCUCACCUCGGCAGCACAUAUACCAAAAUUGGAAUGAUACAGAGGAGAUUAGCAUGACCCCUGCGCAAGGAUGACACGCAAAUUCAUGAAGAGUUGAUGGAGGGU